AAAUGCAAUAUUGUAUCCUGGAUGGGAUCUUGGAAGAGAAAAAAAAGGCCAUACCUGCAUUCCCCAAUAGCCUCAAAAAUCCAGAAGAGCAAAGCUCAUUAUGCCUGCAGGUUGUACAGCAAUCUUUAUGAUCCAACUCCAGAACAUUUUCAUCACCCCAAUGAGAAACUCUGUACUCAUGAGAAGCCACCUCUCAUUCUCCUUUCCCC